rnacentral:rRNA from 1 species
CCCUUAGAUGUUCUGGGCUGCACGCGCGCUACACUGAUGCGCUCAACGAGUUUUAACCUUGCCUGGAAAGGUUGGGUAAUCUUUUUAAAACGCAUCGUGAUGGGGAUAGAUUAUUGCAAUUAUUAAUCUUCAACGAGGAAUUCCUAGUAAGCGCGAGUCAUCAGCUCGUGCUGAUUACGUCCCUGCCCUUUGUACACACCGCCCGUCGCUCCUACCGAUUGAAUGGUCCGGUGAAGCCUCGGGAUUGUGGCGAGUUCCCUUUAUUGGGAGUUUGUCGCGAGAACUUGUCUAAACCUUAUCAUUUAGAGGAAGGUGAAGUCGUAACA